rnacentral:tRNA from 1 species
GCCUUUGUAGUUUAAUGGACAAAACAGUUCUCUCCUAAAGAACAGUUCCGAGUUCGAUUCUCGGCAGGGGCAC